GCCCGGAGAUGGACUCUGAGACACGAGUCCAGGCCCUACGGGGCGCAGCAGGCGCGAAAACUUCGCAAUGCAGGAAACUGUGACGAGGGAACUCCAAGUGUCCAUGCAUUGCAUGGACUGUUUGCCAGCCUAAAAAGCUGGUAGAGUAAGGGGUGGGAAAGACCGGUGCCAGCCGCCGCGGUAACACCGGCACCUCAAGUGGUAGCCACUAUUAUUGGGCCUAAAGCGUUCGUAGCCGGCUUGGUUAAUUCCUGGGUAAAUCGUACCGCUCAACGGUGCGGAUUCCGGGGACACUGCCAGGCUUGAGACCGGGGGAGAUCAGAGGUACUUGCGGGGGAGCGGUGAAAUGUUGUAAUCCCGCAGGGACCACCAAUGGCGAAGGCAUCUGAUCAAAACGGCUCUGACGGUGAGGGACGAAACCCUGGGGCGCAAACGGGAUUAGAUACCCCGGUAGUCCAGGGCGUAAACGCUGCUGACUUGGUGUUGGGGGCCCUGCGAGGGCGUCCAGUGCCGGCACGAAGGUAUUGAGUCAGCCGCCUGGGGAGUACGGUCGCAAGACUGAAACUAAAGGAAUUGGCGGGGAGCACC
rnacentral:rRNA from 1 species